AACGUAGGGUGCAAGCGUUGUCCGGAAUUACUGGGUGUAAAGGGAGCGCAGGCGGACCGGCAAGUUGGAAGUGAAAACUAUGGGCUCAACCCAUAGAUUGCUUUCAAAACUGCUGGCCUUGAGUAGUGCAGAGGUAGGUGGAAUUCCCGGUGUAGCGGUGGAAUGCGUAGAUAUCGGGAGGAACACCAGUGGCGAAGGCGACCUACUGGGCACCAACUGACGCUGAGGCUCGAAAGCAUGGGUAGCAAACAGG
rnacentral:rRNA from 1 species